CGGGGCAGGGCCUGGCUGGGCAGGGCGCUCCGGGCAGCAGCUGCCCCCCGCAGGCCCGCGCCGGGACAGCGCGGUCCUCAGCCUGGAGGCCGCUCGGGGACCCCGCCGAGCCGCGGGCCCACCUGUGACGAGGAUUACAGAGACACAACACUGCUUCUCAUUUAACACUAUCUUCUUGCUGAAUGGUCUGGGACAUUUCCUGCUCUAAGCCACUCAGGUACCAGCACCUGAUCUGUGGGCUUGGUUACCCACUCAAGUGUCAGCACCGUGGACCACCUCGUCUGUGCACGGGGUACCCAGGUUGAAAUGAGACAGUCACCUGCUUUCGGAGCGGAUGUGGUCAGAUGCCUGCCUGCCUGCCUGCCUGCCUGCCGCCAUGCUUCUCACCGUGAUGCUCUGGGACGAGUCUCUGAAACCGUAGUCUCCCCAUAAACUCUGCUUCUACAAAUC
rnacentral:lncRNA from 1 species